GACUUCUUCCACACUCAGCGAUAAGAAUAUGUAAUCAGUUUUUCUGGUAAUUUGUUGUUGUAUCAGGAGGAAGAGUCGAGGAGGGGCGAGUGUUUGUGACGCCGGACAGACGGAUUUGGAGAAAGAGUGAUCAUUCUGUCACCUGCUCAG
rnacentral:lncRNA from 1 species